rnacentral:rRNA from 1 species
AGUGAACGCUGGCGGUAGGCCUAACACAUGCAAGUCGAACGGCAGCACAGUAAGAGCUUGCUCUUACGGGUGGCGAGUGGCGGACGGGUGAGGAAUACAUCGGAAUCUACUUUUUCGUGGGGGAUAACGUAGGGAAACUUACGCUAAUACCGCAUACGACCUACGGGUGAAAGCAGGGGAUCUUCGGACCUUGCGCGAUUGAAUGAGCCGAUGUCGGAUUAGCUAGUUGGCGGGGUAAAGGCCCACCAAGGCGACGAUCCGUAGCUGGUCUGAGAGGAUGAUCAGCCACACUGGGACUGAGACACGGUCCAGACUCCUACGGGAGGCAGCAGUGGGGAAUCUUGGGCCAUGGGCGCAAGCCUGAUCCCGCCAUACCGCGUGGGUGAAGAAGGCCUUCGGGUUGUAAAGCCCUUUUGUUGGGAAAGAAAAGCAGCAGGUUAAUACCCCGCUGUUCUGACGGUACCCAAAGAAUAAGCACCGGCUACCUUCGUG